GACGAACGCUGGCGGCGUGCUUAACACAUGCAAGUCGAACGAUGAACCCGGAGCUUGCUCCGGUGGAUUAGUGGCGAACGGGUGAGUAACACGUGAGUAACCUGCCCUUGACUCUGGGAUAACUGCGGGAAACUGUAGCUAAUACCGGAUACGACCCUCGGCGGCAUCGCCAGGGGGUGGAAAGAAUUUCGGUCAAGGAUGGACUCGCGGCCUAUCAGCUAGUUGGUGAGGUAACGGCUCACCAAGGCGACGACGGGUAGCCGGCCUGAGAGGGUGACCGGGCACACUGGGACUGAGACACGGCCCAGACUCCUACGGGAGGCAGCAGUGGGGAAUAGUGCACAAUGGGCGCAGGCCUGAUGCAGCAACGCCGCGUGAGGGAUGACGGCCUUCGGGUUGUAAACCUCUUUUAGUAGGGAAGAAGCGAAAGUGACGGUACCUGCAGAAAAAGCACCGGCUAACUACGUGCCAGCCGCCGCCGUAA
rnacentral:rRNA from 1 species